rnacentral:rRNA from 1 species
AACCCUGAGUAAAGUGGCGUACGGGUGAGUAACGCGUAGGUAAUCUACCCCAGAGUCUGGAAUAACCUGCCGAAAGGCGGGCUAAUACUGGAUAGAGCGACGGAAUCCGUAAUUGGAUUUUUCGGGAAAGGGAGGAAGCAAUUCCCUUCGCUCUGGGAUGAGCCUGCGUCUCAUUAGCUAGUUGGUAGGGUAAAGGCCUACCAAGGCGAUGAUGGGUAGCUGGUCUGAGAGGAUGAUCAGCCACACUGGAACUGAAACACGGUCCAGACUCCUACGGGAGGCAGCAGUGGGGAAUCUUGCGCAAUGGACGAAAGUCUGACGCAGCCACGCCGCGUGAGUGAAGAAGGCCUUCGGGUUGUAAAGCCCUUUCGGUAGGGACGAAAGCUUCCGGUCUAACACACCGGGAGGUUGACUUAACCUACAGAAGAAGCACCGGCUAACUCUGUGCCAGCAGCCGCGGUAA